rnacentral:pre_miRNA from 1 species
GAGACACCCUUAAUGGUGCAGGACUUGCUUCAGUGGGGCUUUGGUGUUCACUGAGUCUGCCCCUUGAAUGUGUCACU